rnacentral:rRNA from 1 species
GUUGGGUAGGGGAGCGUUCUGUAAGCCUGUGAAGGUGGCCUGUGAGGGUUGCUGGAGGUAUCAGAAGUGCGAAUGCUGACAUAAGUAACGAUAAAGCGGGUGAAAAGCCCGCUCGCCGGAAGACCAAGGGUUCCUGUCCAACGUUAAUCGGGGCAGGGUGAGUCGACCCCUAAGGCGAGGCCGAAAGGCGUAGUCGAUGGGAAACGGGUUAAUAUUCCCGUACUUGGUGUUACUGCGAAGGGGGGACGGAGAAGGCUAUGUUGGCCGGGCGACGGUUGUCCCGGUUUAAGCGUGUAGGUGUGUGUUCCAGGUAAAUCCGGUUCACUUUAACACUGAGGCGUGAUGACGAGGCACUACGGUGCUGAAGCAACAAAUGCCCUGCUUCCAGGAAAAGCCUCUAAGCAUCAGGUAACACGAAAUCGUACCCCAAACCGACACAGGUGGUCAGGUAGAGAAUACCAAGGCGCUUGAGAGAACUCGGGUGAAGGAACUAGGCAAAAUGGUGCCGUAACUUCGGGAGAAGGCACGCUGACACGUAGGUGAAGUGAUUUACUCACGGAGCUGAAGUCAGUCGAAGAUACCAGCUGGCUGCAACUGUUUAUUAAAAACACAGCACUGUGCAAACACGAAAGUGGACGUAUACGGUGUGACGCCUGCCCGGUGCCGGAAGGUUAAUUGAUGGGGUCAGCGCAAGCGAAGCUCCUGAUCGAAGCCCCGGUAAACGGCGGCCGUAACUAUAACGGUCCUAAGGUAGCGAAAUUCCUUGUCGGGUAAGUUCCGACCUGCACGAAUGGCGUAAUGAUGGCCAGGCUGUCUCCACCCGAGACUCAGUGAAAUUGAACUCGCUGUGAAGAUGCAGUGUACCCGCGGCAAGACGGAAAGACCCCGUGAACCUUUACUAUAGCUUGACACUGAACAUUGAGCCUUGAUGUGUAGGAUAGGUGGGAGGCUUUGAAGUGUGGACGCCAGUCUGCAUGGAGCCGACCUUGAAAUACCACCCUUUAAUGUUUGAUGUUCUAACGUGGACCCGUUACCCGGGUUGCGGACAGUGUCUGGUGGGUAGUUUGACUGGGGCGGUCUCCUCCUAAAGAGUAACGGAGGAGCACGAAGGUUGGCUAAUCCUGGUCGGACAUCAGGAGGUUAGUGCAAUGGCAUAAGCCAGCUUGACUGCGAGCGUGACGGCGCGAGCAGGUGCGAAAGCAGGUCAUAGUGAUCCGGUGGUUCUGAAUGGAAGGGCCAUCGCUCAACGGAUAAAAGGUACUCCGGGGAUAACAGGCUGAUACCGCCCAAGAGUUCAUAUCGACGGCGGUGUUUGGCACCUCGAUGUCGGCUCAUCACAUCCUGGGGCUGAAGUAGGUCCCAAGGGUAUGGCUGUUCGCCAUUUAAAGUGGUACGCGAGCUGGGUUUAGAACGUCGUGAGACAGUUCGGUCCCUAUCUGCCGUGGGCGCUGGAGAACUGAGGGGGGCUGCUCCUAGUACGAGAGGACCGGAGUGGACGCAUCACUGGUGUUCGGGUUGUCAUGCCAAUGGCACUGCCCGGUAGCUAAAUGCGGAAGAGAUAAGUGCUGAAAGCAUCUAAGCACGAAACUUGCCCCGAGAUGAGUUCUCCCUGAGACUUUAGGUCUCCUGAAGGAACGUUGAAGACGACGACGUUGAUAGGCCGGGUGUGUAAGCGCAGCGAUGCGUUGAGCUAACCGGUACUAAUGAACCGUGAGGCUUAACCUUACAACGCCGAAG